rnacentral:rRNA from 1 species
UACGUAGGGGGCAAGCGUUAUCCGGAUUUACUGGGUGUAAAGGGAGCGUAGACGGUUGUUUAAGUCUGAUGUGAAAACCCGGGGCUCAACUCCGGGAUUGCAUUGGAAACUGGAUAACUAGAGUGUCGGAGAGGUAAGUGGAAUUCCUAGUGUAGCGGUGAAAUGCGUAGAUAUUAGGAGGAACACCGGUGGCGAAGGCGGCUUACUGGACGAUGACUGACGUUGAGGCUCGAAAGCGUGGGGAGCAAAC